rnacentral:rRNA from 1 species
AAGCUCGUAGUUGAAUUUCGGCCCGUGGGGGCUGGUCCGCCUUAUGGGUGUGUACUAGUUUCCUCGCGGGCUUAGCUCUUGGUGAGCCUGGAUGCUCUUUAUUGGGUGUCCAGGGUAACCAGGACUUUUACUUUGAGAAAAUUAGAGUGUUCAAAGCAGGCCUACGCCUGAAUACAUUAGCAUGGAAUAAUAGAAUAGGACGUGCGGUCCUAUUGUGUUGGUCUUAAGGAUCGCCGUAAUGAUUAAUAGGGAUAGUUGGGGGCAUUCGUAUUCAAUUGCUAGAGGUGAAAUUCUUGGAUUUAUUGAAGACGAACUACUGCGAAAGCAUUUGCCAAGGAUGUUUUCAUUGAUCAAGAACGAAGGUUAGGGGAGUAAAGACGAUCAGAUACCGUUGUAAUCUUAACAGUAAACUAUGCCGACUAGGGAUCGGACGAGAUAUAAUAAUGACUCGUUCGGCACCUGAAGAGAAAUCUUUAAGUUUA